rnacentral:rRNA from 1 species
AGUGAACGCUGGCGGUAGGCCUAACACAUGCAAGUCGAACGGCAGCACAGUAAGAGCUUGCUCUUACGGGUGGCGAGUGGCGGACGGGUGAGGAAUACAUCGGAAUCUACUUUUUCGUGGGGGAUAACGUAGGGAAACUUACGCUAAUACCGCAUACGACCUACGGGUGAAAGCAGGGGAUCUUCGGACCUUGCGCGAUUGAAUGAGCCGAUGUCGGAUUAGCUAGUUGGCGGGGUAAAGGCCCACCAAGGCGACGAUCCGUAGCUGGUCUGAGAGGAUGAAGGGCCACACGGGGAACGGAAACCGGCCCAAACCCCCAAGGGGGGCAGCAGGAGGGAAUUGGUGGAAAGGGGGCAAAGGCUUAACCAGCAAAGCCGGGGGGGGGAAGAAGGGCGUUGGAUUUUAAAACCCUUUUGGUAGAGAAAAAAGAGCGGGAGGUUACAACCCCGCUGUAGUGACGGUACCAAAAAAAAAAGCCCCGGCUAACUUCGUG